CUUGGUGACCAUAGCGAUCUGGUAACACCCAUGUCUUUUAAGACUCAAACCAUACCGAACAUGUAGGUUAAGCGGAUCAGCGGGGAUGAUACUUAAUCCUUUGGAUUUUGGGAAAGUACCUCGUCGCCAAGA
rnacentral:rRNA from 1 species